rnacentral:rRNA from 1 species
UGCCCUUGUAGUCAUAUGCUUGUCUCAAAGAUUAAGCCAUGCAUGUCUAAGUAUACGCAAAUUAUACUGUGAAACUGCGAAUGGCUCAUUAAAUCAGUUAUAGUUUAUUUGAUGUUUCUUGCUACAUGGAUAACUGUGGUAAUUCUAGAGCUAAUACAUGCGUAAAAAGCCCCGACUUCUGGAAGGGGUGUAUUUAUUAGAUAAAAACCAUCCUCCUCGGAGUUUGGUGAUUCAUAAUAACUUCUCGAAUCGCACGGCCUUGUGCUGGCGAUGCUUCAUUCAAAUAUCUGCCCUAUCAACUGUCGAUGGUAGGAUAGAGGCCUACCAUGGUUGCAACGGGUAACGGGGAAUAAGGGC